AAUCUGGCAGCCUCUGGUUGUCCGAGUUGUAACCUAGAGAAGUGUUAUCCGUGUUGGACCGUGUAAAAGUCUCCUGGAAUGGAGCGUCAUAGAGGGUGAGAAUCCCGUCUUUGACACGGACUGCCAAUGCAUUGUGAUGCGCUCUCAAAGAGUCGAGUUGUUUGGGAAUGCAGCUCAAAAUGGGUGGUAAAUUCCAUCUAAAGCUAAAUAUUGGCGAGAGACCGAUAGCGAACAAGUACCGUGAGGGAAAGAUGAAAAGAACUUUGGAAAGAGAGUUAAACAGUACGUGAAAUUGCUGAAAGGGAAACGCUUGAAGUCAGUCGCGUUGGCCAGGAAUCAACCUUGCUUCUGCUGGGUGUACUUUCUGGUUGACGGGUCAGCAUCAAUUUUGGCCGUUGGAAAAAGUGCAGAGGAAUGUGGCAUCUUCGGAUGUGUUAUAGCCUCGGUUCGCAUACAACGGCUGGGAUUGAGGAGCUCAGCACGCCGCAAGGCCGGGUUUCGACCACGUACGUGCUUAGGAUGCUGGCAUAAUGGCUUUAAUCGACCCGUCUUGAAACACGGACCAAGGAGUCUAACAUGCCUGCGAGUGUUUGGGUGGAAAACCCGAGCGCGCAAUGAAAGUGAAAGUUGAGAUCCCUGUCGCGGGGAGCAUCGACGCCCGGACCAGACCUCUUGUGACGGUUCCGCGGUAGAGCAUGUAUGUUGGGACCCGAAAGAUGG
rnacentral:rRNA from 1 species